rnacentral:lncRNA from 1 species
GGCUUAAGUAAGUAGUAUUUUAGUGGUCAUUGGAGAUAAAGUUUGAAGACAUGGAUAAGAUUGGAUGGUAGGUACCUAAUGUAUCAGGAGCCUCAGAAGGUAAGGGAUAGAGUGGCAAGAGGAGAUGGUGAUAUGAAGGAGCUGUGGAUAGGACCGCUUAGAGCCAUGGGCUAUCAAUGACUAAGGAAGUGAAAUUUGUCUUUGCCAAGCUUAAUUGAAUGUGAAUUUUUAAGAGUGUGGCUCAAACCAUCACUAACUAUGGGAAGGCUGGAGAAAAGAUUAAAUUUCUCUUUGCCCUAUUCUCAGCAUUUCUUGAUAAUCAGAAUAUCUAGAUCAAAGGUUUCCAACAGUGGCACUAUUGAUAUUGGGGACUGGGUAAUUUAUUGGAGGAGGUUGGCAACUUGUGCAUGGUAGGAUGUUGAACGACAGCCCUAUAUUCUACUUGCUACAUCCUAGCACUGUAUGUACACUACACUCUCAAUUAUGACAAUCAGAAAUGUCUCCAGACAUUGCCAAGUGUCUCCUGGGAAGAAAAAUUGCCCCCCAGUUCAAAACGAUGGAUCUAGAUAAAGGCCUUAGUCCAGUGGUAGGCAUGCAUCAAAUGCUUAGUAAGUCUUUUUAUUUUUCACUUUCCUUUUUGCUCUUCCUUUCCCACAUGGUGUCAUCCAUUUCCAAAUGACUCUUAUGCCCUCUGUUUCAUCAGUUGCAUUCAAAACCACCUCUGCAGAAGAAACCUGCCAAGUGCAUUUACAUUGUGAGUGUUUUCAUUUUAAUAUGGGCACAUCACCUUAAGCCACAGACACCAUCUGAGUUAAGUUUAGGCACCAAUGACCUGGGUGAGGCAUGUAUUUUAGAGACAUUUCCCUCCUAACCUCUCAGAAAACAGUCCAUGCAAAUGGUUUGUAUACUGCCCACUUAUAAGACAUAAAUGAGUCAUUCCCAAAGUGUGUUAGGAUGUGUUAGGUACUAAGAGAGUUUUGUGAUUAAAUACAUUUGAGAAAUUCUGGGUUAAUUAAAAUUAAACAAGUCUCUCUACUUCUCAGGUCUUCUCAGAACCUUGAAGAUGCUCACAUAUACUGUGAAUAUUCAUGAAGGAAUAUGAUUUUUAGCUUUUUACAAACUUAUUUUCACAGGCCAAGGGCCAGCAAACUACGGUCUAUGGCCCAAAUCUAGUCUACUGUCUAUUUUUAUAAACAAAAUUUUACUGGAACACAACCAUGUCCACUCAUUUACGUAUUGUCUAUGGUUGUUUUCAUGCUAUUAAUACAAUGGUAAGUUGAGUGGUUUUUACAGAAACCCCACAAAGCCUAAAGUCUUCACUAUUUGGCUUUUAAAAGAAGAAAUUUGGCCGGGCGCAGCGGCUUAUGCCUGUAAUCCCAGCACUUUGGGAGGCCAAGGCGGGUGGAUCACCUGAGGUCAGGAGACUGGUCAACAUGGUGAAACC